UCGCUAUGUACAAACACUGUAUGAACAUC
rnacentral:sRNA from 1 species